rnacentral:rRNA from 1 species
GGUUAAGCGACUAAGCGUACACGGUGGAUGCCCUGGCAGUCAGAGGCGAUGAAGGACGUGCUAAUCUGCGAAAAGCGUCGGUAAGGUGAUAUGAACCGUUACAGCCGGCGAUGUCCGAAUGGGGAAACCCAGUGCAAUUCGUUGCACUAUCGUUAACUGAAUACAUAGGUUAACGAGGCGAACCGGGGGAACUGAAACAUCUAAGUACCCCGAGGAAAAGAAAUCAACCGAGAUUCCCCCAGUAGCGGCGAGCGAACGGGGAGCAGCCCAGAGUCUGAAUCAGCUUGUGUGUUAGUGGAACGGUCUGGAAAGUCCGACGGUACAGGGUGAUAGUCCCGUACACCAAAAUGCACAGGUUGUGAACUCGAAGAGUAGGGCGGGACACGUGGUAUCCUGUCUGAAUAUGGGGGGACCAUCCUCCAAGGCUAAAUACUCCUGACUGACCGAUAGUGAACCAGUACCGUGAGGGAAAGGCGAAAAGAACCCCGGCGAGGGGAGUGAAAAAGAACCUGAAACCGUGUACGUACAAGCAGUGGGAGCACCUUCGGGUGUGACUGCGUACCUUUUGUAUAAUGGGUCAGCGACUUAUAUUCUGUAGCAAGGUUAACCGUAUAGGGGAGCCGCAGGGAAACCGAGUCUUAACUGGGCGUUAAGUUGCAGGGUAUAGACCCGAAACCCGGUGAUCUAGCCAUGGGCAGGUUGAAGGUUGGGUAACACUAACUGGAGGACCGAACCGACUAAUGUUGAAAAAUUAGCGGAUGACUUGUGGCUGGGGGUGAAAGGCCAAUCAAACCGGGAGAUAGCUGGUUCUCCCCGAAAGCUAUUUAGGUAGCGCCUCGUGAAUUCAUCUUCGGGGGUAGAGCACUGUUUCGGCUAGGGGGUCAUCCCGACUUACCAACCCGAUGCAAACUACGAAUACCGAAGAAUGUUAUCACGGGAGACACACGGCGGGUGCUAACGUCCGUCGUGAAGAGGGAAACAACCCAGACCGCCAGCUAAGGUCCCAAAGUCAUGGUUAAGUGGGAAACGAUGUGGGAAGGCACAGACAGCCAGGAUGUUGGCUUAGAAGCAGCCAUCAUUUAAAGAAAGCGUAAUAGCUCACUGGUCGAGUCGGCCUGCGCGGAAGAUGUAACGGGGCUAAACCAUGCACCGAAGCUGCGGCAGCGACACUAUGUGUUGUUGGGUAGGGGAGCGUUCUGUAAGCCUGCGAAGGUGACCUGUGAGGGUUGCUGGAGGUAUCAGAAGUGCGAAUGCUGACAUAAGUAACGAUAAAGCGGGUGAAAAGCCCGCUCGCCGGAAGACCAAGGGUUCCUGUCCAACGUUAAUCGGGGCAGGGUGAGUCGACCCCUAAGGCGAGGCCGAAAGGCGUAGUCGAUGGGAAACAGGUUAAUAUUCCUGUACUUGGUGUUACUGCGAAGGGGGGACGGAGAAGGCUAUGUUAGCCGGGCGACGGUUGUCCCGGUUUAAGCAUGUAGGCUGGUUAUCCAGGCAAAUCCGGAUAAUCAAGGCUGAGGUGUGAUGACGAGGCACUACGGUGCUGAAGUAACAAAUGCCCUGCUUCCAGGAAAAGCCUCUAAGCAUCAGGUAACAUCAAAUCGUACCCCAAACCGACACAGGUGGUCAGGUAGAGAAUACCAAGGCGCUUGAGAGAACUCGGGUGAAGGAACUAGGCAAAAUGGUGCCGUAACUUCGGGAGAAGGCACGCUGGUGUGUAGGUGAAGUCCCUGCGGAUGGAGCUGAGACCAGUCGAAGAUACCAGCUGGCUGCAACUGUUUAUUAAAAACACAGCACUGUGCAAACACGAAAGUGGACGUAUACGGUGUGACGCCUGCCCGGUGCCGGAAGGUUAAUUGAUGGGGUUAUCCGUAAGGAGAAGCUCUUGAUCGAAGCCCCGGUAAACGGCGGCCGUAACUAUAACGGUCCUAAGGUAGCGAAAUUCCUUGUCGGGUAAGUUCCGACCUGCACGAAUGGCGUAAUGAUGGCCAGGCUGUCUCCACCCGAGACUCAGUGAAAUUGAACUCGCUGUGAAGAUGCAGUGUACCCGCGGCAAGACGGAAAGACCCCGUGAACCUUUACUAUAGCUUGACACUGAACAUUGAGCCUUGAUGUGUAGGAUAGGUGGGAGGCUUUGAAGCGUGGACGCCAGUCUGCGUGGAGCCAACCUUGAAAUACCACCCUUUAAUGUUUGAUGUUCUAACGUUGGCCCCUUACCGGGGUUGCGGACAGUGUCUGGUGGGUAGUUUGACUGGGGCGGUCUCCUCCCAAAGCGUAACGGAGGAGCACGAAGGUUAGCUAAUCCUGGUCGGACAUCAGGAGGUUAGUGCAAUGGCAUAAGCUAGCUUGACUGCGAGCGUGACGGCGCGAGCAGGUGCGAAAGCAGGUCAUAGUGAUCCGGUGGUUCUGAAUGGAAGGGCCAUCGCUCAACGGAUAAAAGGUACUCCGGGGAUAACAGGCUGAUACCGCCCAAGAGUUCAUAUCGACGGCGGUGUUUGGCACCUCGAUGUCGGCUCAUCACAUCCUGGGGCUGAAGUAGGUCCCAAGGGUAUGGCUGUUCGCCAUUUAAAGUGGUACGCGAGCUGGGUUUAGAACGUCGUGAGACAGUUCGGUCCCUAUCUGCCGUGGGCGCUGGAGAAUUGAGGGGGGCUGCUCCUAGUACGAGAGGACCGGAGUGGACGCAUCACUGGUGUUCGGGUUGUCAUGCCAAUGGCACUGCCCGGUAGCUAAAUGCGGAAGAGAUAAGUGCUGAAAGCAUCUAAGCACGAAACUUGCCCCGAGAUGAGUUCUCCCUGAGACUUUAAGUCUCCUGAAGGAACGUUAAAGACGAUGACGUUGAUAGGCCGGGUGUGUAAGCGCAGCGAUGCGUUGAGCUAACCGGUACUAAUGAACCGUGAGGCUUAACCUU